rnacentral:rRNA from 1 species
UACAGAGGGGGGCGAGCGUUGUUCGGAAUUACUGGGCGUAAAGGGCGCGUAGGCGGCCUUCUAAGUCGAACGUGAAAUCCCCAGGCUCAACCUGGGAACUGCGUCCGAUACUGGCAGGCUUGAAUCCGGGAGAGGGAUGUGGAAUUCCAGGUGUAGCGGUGAAAUGCGUAGAUAUCUGGAGGAACACCGGUGGCGAAGGCGGCAUCCUGGACCGGUAUUGACGCUGAGGCGCGAAAGCUAGGGGAGCAAACGGG